GCAACAUGUCGACCGCAAAGAUAACACCGUCAGCUGCUUCAUUUGCGACUUCUAUCAAACACCUUGCGGGCAUUCAACUACCUCGAUGCCAAAGCACCAUUUUUACCUCCAAUUCCACGAAGUUCAGAGCACCCAGAAGAGGUUUUACUGUAUCAAUGGCGGCUUCAAUCGAAACCCCUCUUGAAGUAUGCGUCAAACAAUCAAUUACAACUCCUAACAAGCUCGGUGACUGCCCAUUCACCCAGAGGGUUUUGCUUACGUUGGAGGAGAAACACCUUCCAUAUGACAUGAAGUUUGUUGACUUGAGUAACAAGCCUGACUGGUUUUUGAAGAUAAGCCCUGAAGGUAAAGUUCCUCUUAUUAAGCUUGACGAGAAAUGGGUGCCAGAUUCAGAUGUCAUCUCACAGGCACUGGAGGAGAAGUUCCCCAAACCUCCGCUGACAACUCCUCCUGAGAAGGCUUCCGUCGGAUCAAAGAUUUUCCCCAAGUUUGUUGCUUUCCUGAAAAGCAAAGACUCCGGUGAUGGAACAGAGCAGGCUUUACUUGAUGAGCUGACAGCUUUCAAUGAUUACCUUAAAGAAAAUGGUCCAUUUAUCAACGGAAAUGAGGUAUCUGCUGCUGAUUUGUCGCUUGGACCAAAGCUAUAUCAUUUAGAAAUAGCUUUGGGGAACUAUAAGAAUUGGUCUAUUCCAGAUUCACUUUCCUACAUGAAAUCAUACAUGAAGAGUAUAUUCUCCAGGGAAUCAUUCAUCAACACGCGGGCACUAAAAGAGGAUGUCAUUGAGGGUUGGCGACCAAAAGUCAUGGGUUAGACAAACUAUAUCAUCUUUUGCAUUUCUGAGGAUUAGGUUUUUGUCGCAAGGUAUAGUAAGCUAGCAUUUGGAAGGCUGUAAGACAGUUCUUUGCCCUGUAUAUUGUUAUUAAAACACAUACUCAUCCUUGUUAGACUGAAUGAUAGCCUGAGUUAUAUAUGUAAUACAUACUUCCUAAGGCUUGUGCAUAUGCAAAAAUUCUUACUUUUUCAGAUCAGGAAUGUUAUAGCAGA
rnacentral:misc_RNA from 1 species